GACGAACGCUGGCGGCGUGCUUAACACAUGCAAGUCGAACGGAAAGGCCCCCUUGUGGGGUACUCGAGUGGCGAACGGGUGAGUAACACGUGAGUAACCUACCCUUGACUUUGGGAUAACUUCAGGAAACUGGGGCUAAUACCGGAUAGGAGCUCCUGCUGCAUGGUGGGGGUUGGAAAGUUUCGGCGGUUGGGGAUGGACUCGCGGCUUAUCAGCUUGUUGGUGGGGUAGUGGCUCACCAAGGCUUUGACGGGUAGCCGGCCUGAGAGGGUGACCGGCCACAUUGGGACUGAGAUACGGCCCAGACUCCUACGGGAGGCAGCAGCGGGGAAUAUUGCACAAUGGGCGGAAGCCUGAUGCAGCAACGCCGCGUGCGGGAUGACGGCCUUCGGGUUGUAAACCGCUUUCGCCUGUGACGAAGCGUGAGUGACGGUAAUGGGUAAAGAAGCACCGGCUAACUACGUG
rnacentral:rRNA from 1 species